AUUGAACGCUGGCGGCAUGCCUUACACAUGCAAGUCGAACGGCAGCACGGGAGCAAUCCUGGUGGCGAGUGGCGAACGGGGUGAGUAAUAUAUCGGAACGUGCCCAGUCUGGGGGAUAACGUAGCGAAAGCUACGCUAAUACCGCAUACGAUCUAUGGAUGAAAGCGGGGGGAUCGCAAGACCUCGCGCGAUUGGAGCGGCCGAUAUCAGAUUAGGUAGUUGGUGNGGUAAAGGCUCGCCAAGCCGACGAUCUGUAGCUGGUCUGAGAGGACGACCAGCCACACUGGGACUGAGACACGGCCCAGACUCCUACGGGAGGCAGCAGU
rnacentral:rRNA from 1 species